GACGGAGGGUGCGAGCGUUGUUCGGAUUUACUGGGCGUAAAGGGCGCGUAGGCGGCGGGUCAAGUCGAGUGUGAAAGCCCACGGCUCAACCGUGGAGGGUCAUUGGAAACUGGGGGACUUGAGUGCAGGAGAGAAGAGUGGAAUUCCACGUGUAGCGGUGAAAUGCGUAGAGAUGUGGAGGAACACCAGUGGCGAAGGCGACUCUUUGGCCUGUAACUGACGCUGAGGCGCGAAAGCGUGGGGAGCAAAC
rnacentral:rRNA from 1 species